rnacentral:rRNA from 1 species
UACGACUACAUAUCAGGCAUAUCAAUAAGCGGAGGAAAAGAAACUAACUAGGAUUCCCUCAGUAACGGCGAGUGAAGCGGGAAGAGCUCAAAUUUGAAAUCUUCAAGGUUUUACCUUGACGAAUUGUAGUUUAAAGAAGUGUUUUCUGUUGGAGUUUUGGUAAAAGUUCUUUGGAAUAGGACAUCAUAGAGGGUGAGAAUCCCGUAUUUGACCAUUAUUUCCAGCUUUGUGAUACACUUUCAAAGAGUCGGAUUGUUUGGGGAUGCAGUCCAAAAUGGGUGGUAAAUUUCAUCUAAAGCUAAAUAUUGGCGAGAGACCGAUAGCGAACAAGUACCGUGAGGGAAAGAUGAAAAGAACUUUGAAAAGAGAGUUAAACAGUACGUGAAAUUGUCAAAAGGGAAGCGUUUGACACCAGUGUUGUUUCUACGAAAAUCAAUUUAUGAUGGCUUGAUGCUAAGCUUUAAGACUUUAUCCGCUUGUUGUUUAGUUUUCUUGUCUUUGUGAAUGCACUUUUCGUGGAACAAGUCAACAUCAAUUUCUUUUGCUGUAAAAGGGUAAGAGGAAGGUGGCUUCGGCUUCGGUUGAAGUGUUUAUAGCCUUUUAUCUCUGCAGUCGGAGAGAUUGAGGUCUGCAGCGUAGACUCUUCGGGGUUAGAUACGUCGGUGCUAAGCUAUAGCUUUUCAUAGACAACUUGUUGACUAUGUUUAGUCAUGUGGCUUACCCGCUGGUGCUAUUUUACCUACGCUUAGGAUGUUGACUGAUAUGUAGUCGUA